AAAACGAAAAAUUUCCUCUUUUAUUUUUCACUUUGGCUCUAGGUUUUCUCCGUUCAAUUACCCAAUUACAAUUGAAACCUUUGUUUGGUAUCUCUCUUCGUUAAGCAUGUUAAAUCUAGAUUACUUCUGGAGGUUGAUUUAUCUCCUAUUUUGUUAAUGUAUUCACAUUGAAGAAUAAUUUAGGAAUUCAACCAAUCACCUCGGAUUCUUUAUAAUCUUAUUUAUUUAGGGGCUUUUGUUCUUCUUUUUGUCUUUUUGAGCAGAUUUUAAUCAUCCAAAGUCCAUCGAAGAUAUGUACAAAGCAGUUACGCUACUUUCUACUCCAAGCUCCAAUAAAUGUGUUUUCUUAUUCAACACUUUGGGGGUCAACUGCCACCUAGUUUUCCCAACUCUCGAGUCAAUCAGGUGCAUAUUCAACUUGAAACAAGGAAGGUUGUGGAAAAGCUAGAAUAAAGGUAUUGAGAAAUAAAGAAGUCUUUGGGAGAAAAGAUGAUACCAGAGAUCCUAGUUGGUAAAUGGAGGUCAGUCAAGGCGAUUCCAUCAGCAAAGCUAUCCAAUGAGUUGGGAAUGACUCUUCAAAAAUUUCUGUCACUUCCAAACAAAUGGAAAGAACUCACAAGAGAGGAGAAAGAUGCAAUAUUGGUUAAAUUACAUUGUACAUUUUUAGACAAUCGCAUUUUCCUAGAAUUGCCUUAUCAAUAGUAUAAUAUAUUCUUUGACGACAUAUUAUCUUUGUAUUUUUUGACUAUUGUAACUGUCACUAAUCAUGAUGAUUUAUAGUAACAUUUUUGUUGUCAGUA